UACGUAGGGAGCGAGCGUUGUCCGGAAUUACUGGGCGUAAAGGGUGCGUAGGCGGCAUGGCAAGUCAGAUGUGAAAUCCCCGGGCUUAACUCGGGAGUUGCAUUUGAAACUGCUGUGCUUGAGUGCAGGAGAGGAAAGCGGAAUUCCUAGUGUAGCGGUGAAAUGCGUAGAUAUUAGGAGGAACACCAGUGGCGAAGGCGGCUUUCUGGACUGUAACUGACGCUGAGGCACGAAAGCGUGGGGAGCAAACAGGAUUAGAUACCCU
rnacentral:rRNA from 1 species